rnacentral:rRNA from 1 species
GAUGAACGCUGACAGAAUGCUUAACACAUGCAAGUCGACUUGAAUUUGGGCUUUUAACUUAGGUUUGGGUGGCGGACGGGUGAGUAACGCGUAAAGAACUUGCCUCCCAGCUAGGGACAACAUUUGGAAACGAAUGCUAAUACCUAAUAUUAUGAUAAUAGGGCAUCCUAUAAUUAUGAAAGCUAUAAGCGCUGUGAGAGAGCUUUGCGUCCCAUUAGCUAGUUGGGGAGGUAACGGCUCACCAAGGCGAUGAUGGGUAGCCGGCCUGAGAGGGUGAUCGGCCAAUAGGGGACGGGGACACGGCCCGUACUCUUCCGGGAGGAAGCAGGGGGAAAUAUGGGACAAUGGACCGAGAGUCUGAUCCAGAAAUCCUGUGUGGACGAUGAAGUUUUUCGGAAUGUAAAGUGCUUUCAGGUGGGAAGAAACAAAUGACGGUACCAACAGAAGAAGUGACGGCUAAAUACGUG